UUUUUUUCCCCAUCCCAAUUUCAUAAGACCAAAUAGCCCAACUACCCAGCCCAAAUCCUUUCCAAAGAGGGAAAAUCCAGAAGCUCCCAACGUUCAUAAACGCCAAAUACACAGCAACCAAACGGAAGUGCUAAUGGCGUGAGAGUAAAACAAAGCAGCGAUACGCGUGAGCACCACUACCUAACCCCGUACGCGCCUCAUCGUUUUCACGUGAGGGAAAAGCAACGACAAAUAGAUGGCGUCUUCCUACAAACGAUGUUUGCUCGAUUCAACCUCUUCACGGAAGAGACGGCAAUAGACGGAAAGCAUCGAGGCGUAGAAAACAGUUGUCUUCUUCCUCCCGUCCCUCUCAUUGCGUACAAUCUUCAACGGCUCUGAGGCACACAUUGUCGUCCUUGAACGCAGUAGAUCGCUCCACGUCGGCAUUCAAGAAAAAAUAAUUGAUCCCAAUCGUCCAUUCCACCUGCCAUUUUCGGAAUAAGGUUGAAGGUUGGGGUGUUCGUCCAAAAUGUAAGGUUUUCUUUUUGGGGGGGUGAAAAAAUUGAGAAGAGACUUUGGUUGAUGUUUUUUGUUUAGAGACCUCUGGAAAACUGAAAGGGAAUUUUCGCUUUCGAUAUUCGAACUUGGAAGUCUUCUAUCGGGAGCAAGGUUUUGGUCAAAAUAUAAUAUAUUGGAGAAUAGUGGAGAGUCAGAGAUUUUAGUUCUAGUAAGAUCAUACAAAAGGAAAAAAGGAAUCGCUGGGUUACGCCCUUCAUUUCGAGUUCGGUGUUGAAGUCGCCUCUGCUUGUCUUGCCUCUUUUUCGCUGCUCCGAGAAAGGUAAACCCGAAUCCUUUUACUGCUUCAUUCUUGUGUUUGAUUGAUAUUAUGUGUGUAGAUUUUCGCGUAUUGAAGUCAUGUAUGCUCGUGAUUUUGACUUCACUGUAUGUUGGUUUCCUUAUGGUUUUUUCUUCUGUUUUUUUUGGUAAAUAAAGAAAACUGAAAGAGAAAUAGGAGCAUGUGUUGGGUUCUCAAGAUACAUAGUCGUUCAUUGUUUCUUUCUCGCUUACUCAAUGCUAAGUUCAAAUGUUUGAAUCGAAUGCGUAAAUAUUUUUUUUAUUCUCAGAAGCAAUGAUCGAAAGGUUCGGGUCAGUUUGAGUUUAAUAUGGGUUAUUAAAUUGAUUCGUUCAAGUUUGAGUAUUUUUUGUAAAUCUUUUGUGAUGUAAGAUUCAAAAUGCGUAUUUCGUUAUCGUCUUGUAUUUUUUUUACCUUCAAGCAUUUCCCUCUUAAUAUUCUAUUGGUAUCACUCGGUUUUAAAUAGAUGCAGAAUUAUAGCGGGUUGUCGUAUUUGUUUGUUUUAUGCUUGGGGACCUCUCUUUUGAUUGUGUGGCUUCAAUCUGGGUUUUGUUCUAUUUCGUCUUUCGAAGUAGCUUAGUUCCCCUCUUUGUGAUUUUCAUGACUAGUUAGUUCGAAGUAUUGGCCUAUAACUUGUUAUUCUUUUUACUUUCCAGUUGCUAAGUCAUUGUUGUUUUAGAUGUAAGCAUGACUUUUUUUCCGGUAUCCCCCUCUCAUUUAUCUGCAUCUAUCUUCGCUUAUAUCUGAGGAUAUUUUUUUUUAUCUUAUUUGGUCAGUUGGUUAGCUGGCCUACUCCCGUAUAACUGAAAUCUUCCGAUUGAUAAAUGGGUGUAUUACUGCCUUUGCAUAAGUUUUGCUUUCCCUUAAAAAAAAGGGAAGAAAGAAAGCUUAAUCACACUAGCCUCGAUAGUUUGCUUCUCUUUUGUUUACUGAUAAUCGCUUCCUUGUCACUAUAAUUAGGCUUAAGUCUAUUCCAUUUGGUCCACCUAAUGGUUUAGCUAUCAUCGCCUUUGGUGUUUUUUUUAAUAAAUCACAUCGAGACUAGUAAUCUACUCGUAAAGUUCACAUAUCCCAUCGUGUGAGUUCGAAACCUUUUAUCCUUGUCAAGACCUCCUUUUUUUGUGUUCUUGAGUUUGUUUCGUAAAGUUGAAGUGCUUAUAAUGCUAGUAUAUGGCAUCUAAGUUUCAUUUUUCUUUAUGUAUUUUAUCAUGAAUAGAAAUAGCAAUUGGAAGUAGCUUAGUAAUUUAUCCAUUUGCAAGUAGAGCAAUUCAGGUUGCAUUAUCCCUUAAUUUGAUAAAAUACUUGCAGAGAUUGUUGUACAUAUACAUAUGUUUGCAUUCUUCUAAGCUUUUGUCAAAUAAGUAUGCCUAAAUGGCCAUCUGCUUGUGACCUUUAUCCUUAUUUUUUUUUAAUAUAUAUUAUGAUUCUAUGUCUUACUCCCUCGGCUAAUAUAAUUAUUUUAUUGCAUGUGAAACUCCUCUCGAGUCCAUUUUGGGACUCCCUCUUCAUCCUUGCAUCCUUCGUUUGAGCCACGAAGGCUUGAACCAUUAUAUCUGAGCCGUUCAGCCCCCCUUAAAAAUGGCGCACAAGUUGAAACCAGCAAUAUGUUUGCUGGGAAUUAAGUUUACAAGUCUCCAAAGGCUUAAAACAGAUGUAUAUACUGGCUGUAUAAACUAAUAUAAGGUUGAGAUAUAUGACAUAGAGGUGAAAAAAUGUGAAAGCACAUGCCAAAUGCAGGAGAUAAAAAAUUUGACGAAAUUCAAGUUUCGAAAGAUCCAAAUUGAUGGAAUACAACCCUAUAUACCAUGAUAUACGCAAAACGUAUACACAUAUUUUGAAAGGAAAAUAUGGCCAAGAGGCCCAACAGGUCAAAUAUUGGGCAAGAUUCAUUUUUGGGCCAUUUUAGAUUUAGGACAGGUUGUUAAGAUUUGGGCCAAAGGCCCAAAUUUGAUACUCUAUUCCUUGCUUACUCAUAUUGUAUUAUUUUGACUAUUUUUAGUCUUAUUAACCCCUUCAUGUCACUCCCCCUUGUGUGUGUGUGCGCGAGUGUGCGCGUGUGCGUGUGCGUGUGCGUGUGUGUGUAUAUUAUGAUAAAUAAACAUUUAUUUUUACAAGUCA